UACGUAGGGUGCAAGCGUUAAUCGGAAUUACUGGGCGUAAAGCGUGCGCAGGCGGUUUGUAAGUCUGUCGUGAAAGCCCCGGGCUCAACCUGGGAAUUGCGAUGGAGACUGCAAGGCUUGAAUCUGGCAGAGGGGGGUAGAAUUCCACGUGUAGCAGUGAAAUGCGUAGAGAUGUGGAGGAACACCGAUGGCGAAGGCAGCCUCCUGGGCCAGCACUGACGCUCAUGCACGAAAGCGUGGGGAGCAAACAGG
rnacentral:rRNA from 1 species